rnacentral:rRNA from 1 species
UACGUAGGGUGCGAGCGUUGUCCGGAAUUACUGGGCGUAAAGGGCUCGUAGGCGGCCAACUAAGUCAGACGUGAAAUCCCUCGGCUUAACGGGGGAACUGCGUCUGAUACUGGAUGGCUUGAGUUUGGGAGAGGGAUGCGGAAUUCCAGGUGUAGCGGUGAAAUGCGUAGAUAUCUGGAGGAACACCGGUGGCGAAGGCGGCAUCCUGGACCAACACUGACGCUGAGGAGCGAAAGCCAGGGGAGCAAACGGG